ACGAGCAGGGGCGCCUUUCCUCCCUCCCAUCCUCCUCCUCCGCGCGACGGAGGAGCCGCCGGACCACGCCACGGCCACGAGGUACGUACGACGCGAGCCUUCCCUCUGUCCAGAUGGUUUGAUUUGCGUGUGGUUCGGGCGAAAUUCGCGGUUUCGUGGUGGAAUUAUCCGGUCCUCUGCCUCGUGCUACAGCCUGCUUGGUUGACCCGUGGGCUUCAGUUUGGUGUCUGGCGCUCGUUUGUUUGAGGGUUCCAUUGCCGAUUCGGGUGGAAUUUGUCGUCCUCCUUGUUCCUUGUUCGCCCGCGAGCUGGAGCGGAUUUGAUUGGACGGGAGGUUGGACAUGGGGUCUCGUCGAGGAGGGGAUCGGAUGAUGCGGGAUUGCAGGGUUGGUGCUGGUUUGUGCCCCCCUGAUUGGAUCUGACGGUGUAGUUCAUUGAGAGGCUCCGACUCGCGGAUUAAGGAUUUGGAAUGCAUGGCUACGUUGGGCUACACUUCAGAUUCUUGACGGAAAAUGGUUACUGAGAUAUCCUUUAAAAAAAGGUUACUGAGAUUGCAAUAUCACAUUGCUGAAUUGGUGGAAGGUGCAGCGGAGAUGCAAGCAUAGGGACGUAUUGCCUUUUUAAGGGGGAUAUGGAUGUCAGUUUUCCACUUCUUGUCACCUGGCAACUAACUCCAUUUGUGUCGCUAGCAUAGUUGGAAACUUUGAAUUGACAUUGUGUCACUUUUUGAAAAGGACACCUCAACAACUUUGUUCUCCACAUAGGAAAACAACGCUGUCUCUUUAUCGCCAUGAAUGAUGACAUUUCUCAAUAGCCAUACUCACCUAAGGAAACAAAAAAUGGAUCCAGGGCUCUCAGCCUGGUUUUUCAAUAAAAAUAUCAGUAAACACAAUUUGGAGCUUCAGAAAUUCUGAUUUUGUUUUCACAUGUAGAUGCUCACUGCAUGUCUGUAAAUUGGAAAAUAUUAAUUUCUGGGCUACAAAUAUGUGGAUCUUAACAUGUGUACUACUUGCUACACCCUCCGUUUCAUAAUGUAGUGCGCAUUGAUAUUUUCAAAAGCCAAACUUCGUAAACUUUGAACAAAUUCGUAGAGAAAAGUAUCUACAUCUAAAAUACCAAAUAAAUAUCAUUAGAUACAUAAUGAGGCGUAGUUUUAUAUUGUACUUAUUUGGUAUUUUUGUAUGGUGAUAUUUUUCUCAAUAAACUUUGUCAUACUCUACAAUGUUUGAAUUUCCAAAAAAUCUACACGCGAUAUAUUAUGGAAUGAAGUGAGCAUUACAUAUUCUCACAUUUAUAUUUUUUGUAUGCCACGAUUUAAAAUAUUUUCGAUGAAAUUUGUAGAUACGGAGGCCAAAUAUAUAUCAUGCUGGGUUUUUUUCCAAACUAUUUGGAAUAUCAACAUGAUUUUCUGUUUUUUUUAAGAAAAAUCCAUGGAGCCAAGCGGCUGCACUCUAAGCAUUCACACGUUGGCCUAGAAAGAAAUUUUUGUUUGCUAAAUCCUACUGAUAAUGUACACUCCCCACAGCACUGUUAUGGUAAACAAGUUUAACUACCUUUUAUUGAGCACAGAAAACAAAAGAAUUAUCUUGAUUACAGCCUCUAGUUAGUCAUCUUCUUACGUUUCCAGCUUUUACUACUGCUGGUGAAAUUCAUAGCAAUCUAUAUGAAAAAAGGUGCAUAAAAAGCCCAAAGUAGUAAAAAGAAGUUCCUUAUGGCAACACCAACACAGAUCACCGAACCGCCCCUAAACGUUCAGACCGGGGUGUUCGGACUUUUUUUGCCAUCCAACGUGGUGCCUUAAACAUCCGUGGGCUCGUCUGGGCGUUCGAAUCCCGCAAACCGGCCACAAACUCGUGGGAGGUUUGCGGGAGUCCGGACCUCCGCCAUGUAGGCCUCCGACACCCCUAGCCUACCAAAAUCCCCUCCCUUUUCCCCCACUCCGUCCCUCCCCCCUUGCUCUGUAUCCGCACCUUCCCAGUCCGCCGCCGCCGCUCUACCACCCUGGCAGCCACCCAGGCCUUGCGGACCAUCCGCCACCCCACCCACGUGCCUGCCUGCCUUGGACUACGCCGCCAUUUCGCCCCGAUCCAUCCACAGCCAGGUAUCCAAAGGCCCUGCCGACGCCGUCCAACACCAUGCCCUGCAAGUGUUCGGUCAAAUGCCAAUGAUAAUUUUUUCAAUGUUAUCGUUGUUUACUUUGAAGCAAGCACGAUGACCGGCUAGAAAAAAACAGGGGCGGACAUUUGGUGCAUAGGAUUGGAUGUCCGGCUCCCCUAUCGGUGCUUGCGGAUGCGUCCGCGGAUGUUUGGUGUGUCCGGUUUGGUGAUCCGCGUUAGAGUUGCUCUUAUUUCUCAGUAGCCCACCCAUUGACCCAUUUUGUAUAUAUUACAAAGGAAAACACGUGUGAAUUCUUGGCAUUCCAUUUCUUUAGUUUGAAAGAUGGAAAAUAAGUUGUGAUUUAGUGUUACGGUGCAUAGUGGAAUUGAGAAGAUUCUUGCUCUACUAUCUUGCAUUCGUUAGCAGUACUGUUAUGAUUUAUUAAUUAAUUUGCUUUUGUAGAUAUUCUCAUCAUAUGGAUUAAGGGAUUUAUACAAGAGUGAAACCUGUUCUUGUUUCAGCCAGAUCUCAGACUCAUAUAAUUGAUUGAGUUGGAAAUAAGGAAAGAUCACUUCCUGGUAAUCACUAAAUCUUGUUUUUUGUACCAUCACUUUUUGUUGAAGUAUGCUCACUUGCCUGCAUUUGUUUUGUGCAUGUCGUUAUCUAGAACUGACGACUUCCAUGAGCCCAUUAGCCCAUAAUUGUGAUGCGUACCCUUU
rnacentral:lncRNA from 1 species